rnacentral:rRNA from 1 species
UACGGAGGGUGCAAGCGUUAUCCGGAUUCACUGGGUUUAAAGGGUGCGUAGGCGGGCAGGUAAGUCAGUGGUGAAAUCUCCGAGCUUAACUCGGAAACUGCCAUUGAUACUAUUUGUCCUGAAUAUUGUGGAGGUAAGCGGAAUAUGUCAUGUAGCGGUGAAAUGCUUAGAUAUGACAUAGAACACCAAUUGCGAAGGCAGCUUACUACACAAUGAUUGACGCUGAGGCACGAAAGCGUGGGGAUCAAACAGG